AUUCAAAAUUCCAAUUCGGCAAAGUUUCAAGUGAAACGUACUCUUAAGUAGACAAUAGUAAUUUUCAUUGUUUAGAGUAUGUAGCACCACCAUGACAUAUAUUCAAAAUUGUUUGAAGUUUAUUUCAUUGAUUAUAUGGAUGAGUCUAACCUUAAGUUGCAGCAAAGUGUGGAUUGAGUCGACCCCAAGAUUGGUGGAGUCGACCCCGGCACAUCAAGGAAACAUCUGGCACAC
rnacentral:lncRNA from 1 species